UUACCAGGGCUUGACAUCCCCUGACCGCGUAGUGAAAGUAUGUUUCACUUCGGGAGACAGGGAGACAGGUGGUGCAUGGUGUCGUCAGCUCGUGUCGUGAGAUGUUGGGUUAAGUCCCGCAACGAGCGCAACCCUCGACCUUAGUUGCCAGCAUUCAGUUGGGCACUCUAAGGUGACUGCCGGCUAAAAGUACGGAGGAAGGUGGGGGAGUGACGUCAAAUCAUCAUGCCCCUUAUGACCUGGGCUACACACGUGCUACAAUGGGCGGUACAAAGGGUCGCGAACCCGCGAGGGGGAGGCCAAUCCCAAAAAGACCGCUCUCAGUUCGGAUUGCAGGCUGCAACUCGCCUGCAUGAAGCCGGAAUCGCUAGUAAUCGCGGAUCAGCAUGCCGCGGUGAAUACGUUCCCGGGCCUU
rnacentral:rRNA from 1 species